UUGCGACCCGAAAGAUGGUGAACUAUGCCUGAGCAGGGCGAAGCCAGAGGAAACUCUGGUGGAAGCCCGCAGCGGUUCUGACGUGCAAAUCGAUCGUCAAACUUGGGUAUAGGGGCGAAAGACUAAUCGAACCAUCUAGUAGCUGGUUCCCUCCGAAGUUUCCCUCAGGAUAGCUGGAGUCCCCCGAGCAGUUUUAUCAGGUAAAGCGAAUGAUUAGAGGUCUUGGGGUCGAAACGACCUCAACCUAUUCUCAAACUUUAAAUGGGUAAGACGUCCGGCUUGCUCGAGCGAAGCCGGGCCACGAAUGCCGGGGCUCCUAGUGGGCCAUUUUUGGUAAGCAGAACUGGCGAUGCGGGAUGAACCGAACGCCGAGUUAAGGUGCCCGAAUCGACGCUCAGCAGAUACCAGGAGGGGUUGUGUGGGG
rnacentral:rRNA from 1 species